GCCGAGAUAGCUCAGCCUGGUAAGGCGCAAGAUUGGAAAUCUUGUGUGUGAAAGCACUCGGGAGUUCGAACAGAUAACGGACGUAAAAACAACUGAAUCGUUCGUUGAGGAAUCCCCUCUGAAUCUUUGAAUAUCUCCCUCUCGGCG
rnacentral:tRNA from 1 species